AUUGAACGCUAACGGCAUGCCUUACACAUGCAAGUCGAACGGUAGCACAGGAGCAAUCCUGGUGGCGAGUGGCGAACGGGUGAGUAAUACGUGGGAACCUACCCAAUAGUGGGGGAUAGCCCGGGGAAACCCGGAUUAAUACCGCAUACGCCCUUCGGGGGAAAGCGGGGGAUCGUAAGACCUCGCGCUUCUGGAUGGGCCCACGGCCGAUUAGCUAGUUGGUAGGGUAAUGGCCUACCAAGGCAACGAUCGGUAGCUGGUCUGAGAGGACGAUCAGCCAGACUAGGACCGAGACAAAGCCCAGAAUCCUACGGGAGGCAGAGGUGGGGAAUCUUGGACAAUGGGGGAAUCCCUGAGCCAGAAAUGCCGCGUGUGUGAAGAAGGCCUGCGGGUUGUAAAGCACUUUCAGUAUGGAAGAAAAGCUCCGUGUUAACACCGCGGAGUCUUGACGUUACCUAAAGAGGAAGCACCGGCUAACUCUGUGCCAGCCGCCGCCGUAA
rnacentral:rRNA from 1 species